rnacentral:rRNA from 1 species
UAAACAUUGAUACAUUAUUACAUUUUCAAUCCGCCCGGGUACUACGAGCACUAGCUUAAAACCCAAAGGACUUGGCGGUGCUUAAGAUCCCCCUAGAGGAGCCUGUUCUAGAACCGAUAAUCCACGUUUAACCUCACCCUCCCUUGUUUUUCCCGCCUAUAUACCGCCGUCGUCAGCUUACCCUGUGAAGGUUUAACAGUGAGCAAAAAUGGCACAGCCCAAAACGUCAGGUCGAGGUGUAGCGCAUGAGAGGGGAAGAAAUGGGCUACAUUCUCUAAAAAUAGAAGCAUACGGAUAAUAUAUUGAAACAUAUAUUUUAAGGAGGAUUUAGCAGUAAGUAGAAAUUAGAACAUUCCACUGAAUCAGGCCCUAAAGCGCGC